rnacentral:rRNA from 2 species
UCAGAUUGAACGCUGGCGGCAGGCCUAACACAUGCAAGUCGAGCGGUAACAGAUCUAGCUUGCUAGAUGCUGACGAGCGGCGGACGGGUGAGUAAUGCAUAGGAAUCUGCCCGGUAGUGGGGGAUAACCUGGGGAAACCCAGGCUAAUACCGCAUACGUCCUACGGGAGAAAGGGGGCUUCGGCUCCCGCUAUUGGAUGAGCCUAUGUCGGAUUAGCUAGUUGGUAGGGUAAAGGCUUACCAAGGCAACGAUCCGUAGCUGGUCUGAGAGGAUGAUCAGCCACAUCGGGACUGAGACACGGCCCGAACUCCUACGGGAGGCAGCAGUGGGGAAUAUUGGACAAUGGGGGCAACCCUGAUCCAGCCAUGCCGCGUGUGUGAAGAAGGCCCUCGGGUUGUAAAGCACUUUCAGCGAGGAAGAACGCCUGUCGGUUAAUACCCGGUAGGAAAGACAUCACUCGCAGAAGAAGCACCGGCUAACUCCGUGCCAGCAGCCGCGGUAAUACGGAGGGUGCAAGCGUUAAUCGGAAUUACUGGGCGUAAAGCGCGCGUAGGUGGCUUGAUAAGCCGGUUGUGAAAGCCCCGGGCUCAACCUGGGAACGGCAUCCGGAACUGUCAGGCUAGAGUGCAGGAGAGGAAGGUAGAAUUCCCGGUGUAGCGGUGAAAUGCGUAGAGAUCGGGAGGAAUACCAGUGGCGAAGGCGGCCUUCUGGACUGACACUGACACUGAGGUGCGAAAGCGUGGGUAGCAAACAGGAUUAGAUACCCUGGUAGUCCACGCCGUAAACGAUGUCGACCAGCCGUUGGGUGCCUAGAGCACUUUGUGGCGAAGUUAACGCGAUA